AAAAUGGAGGAAGGCAGCAGAGAGACAAGCUAGAAUUUUUCAGAAAACCACCUUUGUAAGGAAGUCAGUGUCCACUGAAACACGUAGUCAGGUGGACCUCUUUUUAUUUUUAAGCCCAAAGAAGGUCAGAUGGCUUUGUUUGAAGAUUCAAGUUGGGCAAUCCUAGCUUGCAGCCACAGCCUUUCAGUAAACCAUUAACCACAGUUUUGGUGUCACAUCCUCUCAGCAAGUGAGAUAAUGCAACCUCAGUUCCCAUCUCUUGAUUGUGUUUGGGUGGAAUCUCAAAAAUAUGUUUCAUACACUCAGAGCCUUCUCUUUCUUCUUAGCAGAGAAGGCUCAGCAUGAAUCUCCCUAUGAGGAACUUCAAGGGCAGCGAAUGGAUAUAUACAGUGACUUGAAAAAUCCAGCUUCCCGAAUUUCUUACAGAUAGUCUUCUUCCACUUCCUUGACCUUCUAAUAUGAAAUAAGAAAUUCUGCGAUUGAAGUCAUUUUCAACAGCUCCAACUGUUGUGUGCAAACUUUCCACUGUGAAGUUCUACCUGACUGCUUUCCCUAUAUAAUAUCUUGCACUUCAAUCAACUUUUAGUCUAUUUUUAAACUGUCUGUGUCUCCCACUACCCAUACUUGCUACUCAUUUAAUAAGUGUGUCACCUAGGGUUGCUUGGGCAAUGGAGGUGGCUUAUAAAUUGAACAAAUAAGUAAAUAAACAUAGACACAUUUAGGACAGUAUUACCUGAAUCACCAUUCAUUCCACCCAUUGGUAGUCACACCAUUGAAAGUGUUCUUCAGGAAGUGUGAACACACUGUUCUCCAAACAGAGACAUUAUUUCUGCCCAGAUAGGGGAGAUGAACAGCAUAAAAAUGUAAUCAAUAAAUAACAAAAGAAUUUCAAAGUAGACAGAUUCUGGCAUAGCAAUCCAGGCCAUGUCUCUCAUCAGACUCAAAGACCUAACUGAAUCUGAGUUGCCCCCAUAACCAUAUAUCCAAAGAAGGCUGCCUGGAAGAUUUGGGGAAACUAUUUAUUAGAUUUUCUUUUUUCAUGGAAGCCUCUUUUUUCUUUUCUUUCUGCUCAAAAACAAAAGGAUUGAAUUCAGACAUAGCUGCCUUUAGAUUUUGAGGAAAUUUACAUUAUUUGAAAUUAAUAGUGUCUUAAAACCAGAUGAAUUUGAUUUUCAAUGAAGUUCAUUAAAUUCACUUCCAAUCCAAUAAUUUACACCAUUUUUUAAGGUGUGGAAAGCCCAAAUGCAAUGGUUGUUAUGGAAGAUGUAUAAAUUGCUUUUACUAGUGCUAUUUGCUUAUUAACUUCUUCUAGUAUAUACUGAGUUCCAGGGAGAAGCAUUUCCCAUAACCUGCUUUUAAUCAGAAAGACUAGAAAGUCAAUCUUGGCCCUCCAACAUGCAAGGCGAUGUUCUAUCAACUAAGGAAAGGGAACAUCUAAAACAAGGGUGUCCAACCUUGGCAACUUUAGGACUUGUGGAAUUUCAACCUCCCAGAAUUCCCCCAACCAGCAUGGCUGGCUGAGGAAUUCUGGGAG
rnacentral:lncRNA from 1 species